CUACAACAGUGGUGCACAUAUACUGAACUUGGAAUGAUACAGAGAUUAGUGUGGCCCCUGUGCAAGGAUGAUACAUGGGUCUGUAAAGCAUUCCAUAUUUAA